CGAAAGCCUGACGGAGCAAUACCGCGUGAGGGAUGACGGCCUAUGGGUUGUAAACCUCUUUUUUCAGGGAGGAAUCAAUGACGUGUACCUGAAGAAUAAGCAUCGGCUAACUCCGUGCCAGCAGCCGCGGUAAGACGGAGGAUGCAAGCGUUAUCCGGAAUUAUUGGGCGUAAAGCGUCCGUAGGCGGCUAAUCAAGUCUGCUGUCAAAGCCCACAGCUCAACUGUGGAGAGGCAGUGGAAACUGAAUAGCUAGAGUGUGGUAGGGGCAGAGGGAAUUCCUGGUGUAGCGGUGAAAUGCGUAGAUAUCAGGAAGAACACCAGUGGCGAAGGCGCUCUGCUGGGCCAUAACUGACGCUGAUGGACGAAAGCUAGGGGAGCG
rnacentral:rRNA from 1 species